rnacentral:rRNA from 1 species
GACGGAGGGUGCUAGCGUUGUUCGGAAUUACUGGGCGUAAAGGGCGCGUAGGCGGUUUUGUAAGACAGAGGUGAAAUCCCCGGGCUCAACCUGGGAACUGCCUUUGUGACUGCAAGGCUUGAGUGCGGCAGAGGGGGAUGGAAUUCCGCGUGUAGCAGUGAAAUGCGUAGAUAUGCGGAGGAACACCGAUGGCGAAGGCAAUCCCCUGGGCCUGCACUGACGCUCAUGCACGAAAGCGUGGGGAGCAAAACGG